UGGGGAAUAUUGGACAAUGGGCGCAAGCCUGAUCCAGCCAUGUCGCGUGAGUGAUGAAGGCCCUAGGGUUGUAAAGCUCUUUUGUGCGGGAAGAUAAUGACUGUACCGCAAGAAUAAGCCCCGGCUAACUUCGUGCCAGCAGCCGCGGUAAUACGAAGGGGGCUAGCGUUGCUCGGAAUCACUGGGCGUAAAGGGUGCGUAGGCGGGUCUUUAAGUCAGGGGUGAAAUCCUGGAGCUCAACUCCAGAACCGCCUUUGAUACUGAAGAUCUUGAGUUCGGGAGAGGUGAGUGGAACUGCGAGUGUAGAGGUGAAAUUCGUAGAUAUUCGCAAGAACACCAGUGGCGAAGGCGGCUCACUGGCCCGAUACUGACGCUGAGGCACGAAAGCGUGGGGAGCAAACA
rnacentral:rRNA from 1 species